rnacentral:ncRNA from 1 species
CAUGAAUAUAUGGCCGAGAAUAAUCUUGCAUGGAAUAAUGGAAUAUGACCUUGGUCUACAAUUUCAUUGGUUUGUAUACAGACUCAGAGGUAAUGGUUAACAGGAGUGGUUGGGGGCAUUAGUAUUACGGCGCGAGAGGUGAAAUUCGUAGACCGUCGUAAGACUAACUGAAGCGAAAGCGUUUGCCAUGGACACUUUCAUUAAUCAAGAACGAAAGUUAGAGUAUCGAAGGCGAUUAGAUACCGCCCUAGUUCUAACCGUAAACGAUGCCAGCUAGCAAUUGGGAGACGCUACAACCUUGGUGCUCUCAGUAGCUUCCGGGAAACCAAAGCUAGGUUCCGGGGGAAGUAUGGUUGCAAAGUUGAAACUUAAAGGAAUUGACGGAAAGGCACCACAAUUGAAGUGGAGCCUGCGGCUUAAUUUGACUCAACACGGGAAAACUUACUGCUACCAUCAGGUAGAUAAUUAUAGUAUGCUGGAUAAUCUAAGUAGGCUCAGGUUAUAGAAGGGUAUAAAAGCAGCCAUGUCUGAGCGUACUGGACACUUUAGUUUCGUGUGUAAUAAAGGCAAAACAUGAACAUAAAACUUACCAGGUCCGAACUUAUCGAGGUAAGACAGAUUGAGAGCUCUUUCUCAAACUUAAGGGUAGUGGUGCAUGGCCGUUCUUAGUUCGUGGAUUGAUUUGUCUGGUUUAUUCCGAUAACGAACGUGACUCACUCAUGCUAACUAGAAUACCAGUCAGCCUGUUGCGUUUUGAUCUCUGUCCGGAGUGCCCCCGGGUGCGAAGGCUGAGGGAGUGCGACCUGACGUUCCGGCCCUGUGUGCGCAAGCAUACUUGGCUAAGCUGCUUAGCAGGACAAUUUGUGUUUAGCAAAAUGAGACUGAGCGAUAACAGGUCCGUGAUGCCCUUAGAUGCCCUGGGCUGCACGCGCGCUACAAUGUGGGUUUCAGCGUGUCUCCUAUUCCGAAAGGAACGGGUAAUCACUGAAACACCCACUUAGUAGGGAUUAUGGAUUGCAAUGGUUUUGUCGCUGCGUGGCUUACGACGACCACAA